rnacentral:rRNA from 1 species
CAAGAUCGAACUGUAGAGUUUGAUCCUGGCUCAGAUUGAACGCUGGCGGCAUGCUUUACACAUGCAAGUCGAACGGC